AAAAAUUGUUGAAGGGCCGCGGUAUUUUGACCGUGCAAAGGUAGCAUAAUCAUUAGUUCUUUAAUUGUGAUCUGGUAUGAAUGGUUUGACGAGACAUAAGCUGUCUUAAGAGUAUUGAUUGUUGAAUUUGAUUUUUGAGUUAAAAUACUUAAAUGUUUUUAUGGGACGAGAAGACCCUAUAGAGUUUAACAGAUUUUUUGUUUGUUUGUUGUUUGUUUGGUAUUUAUUGAACAUUAGGUUUGUUUUGUUGGGGUGAUGGGAGGAAGUAUAUUUAACUCCUCUUYGUUUUUAUAUAUUUAUUUAUAUGU
rnacentral:rRNA from 1 species